UACGUAGGGUGCGAGCGUUGUCCGGAAUUAUUGGGCGUAAAGAGCUCGUAGGCGGUCUGUCGCGUCGAUCGUGAAAACUUGGGGCUUAACCCUGAGCUUGCGGUCGAUACGGGCGGGCUAGAGUUCGGUAGGGGAGACUGGAAUUCCUGGUGUAGCGGUGAAAUGCGCAGAUAUCAGGAGGAACACCGGUGGCGAAGGCGGGUCUCUGGGCCGAUACUGACGCUGAGGAGCGAAAGCGUGGGGAGCGAACAGG
rnacentral:rRNA from 1 species